UAAAAGCAUGACGGGUGUCCAGGUCCUCAAUUGUUUCUUUCAGCUCAGCUCAGCUCAGCUAUGGAGGCUAUGGUCUCACGACCCUUCCUUCAUCGCGAGUCAGACAGAGCUGGAGGAGGCAGUUGAAGACCUGGUUCUGAGAAUAUACCGUAUGAACUUGAUCUAGACAAUUCUAGCGCAUAAGGACAUGCUUCCCCCUCCCC
rnacentral:ncRNA from 2 species